CAAACGACUCUCGGCAACGGAUAUCUCGGCUCACGCAUCGAUGAAGAACGUAGCAAAAUGCGAUACUUGGUGUGAAUUGCAGAAUCCCGUGAACCAUCGAGUUUUUGAACGCAAGUUGCGCCCGAAGCCAUUCGGCCGAGGGCACGUCUGCCUGGGCGUCACGCAU
rnacentral:rRNA from 1 species